ACAAAAAGAACAUGUUCAUGAUCGAUCGUGAUCGAUGAUGAUGAUGAGGGGCUUGUCAUUGGAAAAAUCAAAGUGGUUCUCAUUCAUAAGGAUUCAGCAGCAUAUUUUAUUGCUGAAAAAUAUCAUGCCAUGCGUCUUCCUGACAUGGGUGUCUAUAGCCUUACGCUGAUGCAGAGAAGCUACUGUUGUGUUAAUCAGGAGAAUCUGCUAGAUUACUACCCCUUCCCUGAGUACACUGUCCAUGGCACACCAAUGAUAAUUCUUCACCAUUCUUUCCCUUUAUUCCAGAAUAAUGGCUAACUUGAGUGAAGAAAUCAAGGAGAUCAUCUGCAAGACCUUGCCAAAUCUCUCUGAAACGACCCAGUGGCAAAUAAUUUCUAAACUUCAGAGCUCUGGCUUGGAGUCAAAAGAAGAUUUAAAAUAUGUACAGCAGGAAGACAUUGCUGAUCUGUUACCUGUCAUGCAGCUCUGAAUACUCCUGGAUGCAUUUAAAUUAGAGAUGGAGACAGUUACAUUGGGUCUGCAAGUUAUUCUAACCUCUUCACCACUGAGUAGUGCUUUGUCAGUCUCUGAGUCUCCAUCACCAUCAUCAGGCACUUCCCCUCAUUCUAGCCCAUCACAGCUGUCGGCCAUUGCAUUAUUGUCAAGCCAGGCAGGAAACAGCGAUCCAGGCAACAGACCUUCCACAACUGAAAUACUGAAAACAUGGCCAGAAACAUUCCAGGUCCCUUGGGAACAAAUGCCACAGGAAAUAUGUUCUGCAAUUGUAGACGGCACGAGACGUAAACCAGUGGAGCGACGCCAGAUGGUACGAGUACUCGUAGAUGAAAUAAGGAGGUAUGAGGCUAAACCCACUUGCUCACAGUGCCUCACUGUGAUUCGAAAUAUCAUCAGGCAGUACCCAAAGAGUUUGGCUGAUAUGACAGCAGACGGGUCACUUUUGGGUGGAGGUUAUACAUCGCUUUUGAUUCAAGUGAAAAACCGCAUUGAGAAUGUGAACCGUGACAGAAGCUGUGCACGCCCCCGAGCCUCUAGAUCCAGUUCUACAUACAAGAGGAGGCCAACCGACACUUAUGGAUGUACAAGAUUUCAGCCAGAGCUCCCUCCAGAAGAAGCUAAUGAGACUGUGGAGCAGAACCGCCAAAGACUGGCGGAGAUUUACAGACAGGAGGGUGCAGGUGGAGCUGAAAGAGUAGCAGAACAUGGGGUCAGGCGCUUCAUUGGUAUCAGUCCAGAGAGAGGAACAAAGGCCAUCCGGGGCAAGGUAGUCUCCAAGAAAACAGGUGUGAUUGUCCAGAAGAAGUCUGCCAGUCAAUACACACGUCUCCACACUACUGAAGAACCUCAUUGACUGUAAUGGGACUUCAUAUAGUGGCAACACGAAUAAAUCUAGGGAGAGGAAAAACGGCCAGCAAGGUGAUGUUUAUCUCUACCUGACCCAGAAGAUUCCUCUUUGAAUCAGGACUGUCCACACCCACCCAGACUCUUCCUGAAGUUAAGCAUGCACCUACCUCACAGGACUCUUUUAAGAGGAAAAACAUGAGCCUACCUCAAAGGACUCUUUUAAGAGGUAAAGCACAAGCCUACCUACAAUUUUUUCCCAAACGUUGCUAUUGAUGCAUAUUUUUAAAAUGUUCUUACUGAUGUAUUGUGAGGGUGGGGAAGUGUUAACGACCACACGCAACUACCACACUCAGUUACCUGAAACAGCACUCGGUUUCCUCAACAGGGAUACUGAGUAGCUGAUUAGCAGGAAACGGCGUCGAUUAGCACAACCCACGACGCCGCAUAGCAAACGGAAUAAGGAACCAUGACGUAUAUUUUCAAAAUGGUCUGAAUGCACAUUUUCUAAAUGUUCUUAAUAGUACAGUUUGUUUUCCGAAUGUUGCUAAUGAUGCAUAUUUUCAAAAUGUUCUUACUGAUGUAUAUUUUCACAGACGGCAGAGAAUACAUUGCAGUAAAUUUAGAUAUUGUAGAUAUUUUAAACUGCUUUUUGAGAGAACAUAAGCGUACCUCACAGAAUUCUUUAUAGGUUAAAGACUUAUUUCCUCUGUAUUAGUUGCCUUGGUAUUCAGCCCAAUUGUUUGAUCCAAGGUCAAGU